AACGACCGAACGCGUGUUCCGCUCGGUCGCUACGUAGCGACUGAGCUCGAGCCAAGCUCGGUUGCUACAUAGCGACCGAGCGGAACACGUGUUCGGUCGUUACA
rnacentral:pre_miRNA from 1 species